UGGGGAAUAUUGCACAAUGGGCGAAAGCCUGAUGCAGCAACGCCGCGUGAGGGACGACGGCCUUCGGGUUGUAAACCUCUUUUAGCAAGGAAGAAGCGAAACGUGACGGUACUUGCAGAAAAACGCGCCGGCUAACUACGUGCCAGCAGCCGCGGUAAUACGUAGGGCGCAAGCGUUAUCCGGAAUUAUUGGGCGUAAAGAGCUCGUAGGCGGUUUGUCGCGUCUGCUGUGAAAAAUCCCGAGGCUCAACCUCGGGCCUGCAGUGGGUACGGGCAGACUAGAGUGCGGUAGGGGAGAUUGGAACUCCUGGUGUAGCGGUGGAAUGCGCAGAUAUCAGGAAGAACACCGAUGGCGAAGGCAGAUCUCU
rnacentral:rRNA from 1 species